rnacentral:rRNA from 1 species
GAUGAACGCUGGCGGCGUGCCUAAUACAUGCAAGUCGAGCGAACGGACGAGAAGCUUGCUUCUCUGAUGUUAGCGGCGGGCGGGUGAGUAACACGUGGAUAACCUACCUAUAAGACUGGGAUAACUUCGGGAAACCGGAGCUAAUACCGGAUAAUAUUUUGAACCGCAUGGUUCAAAAGUGAAAGACGGUCUUGCUGUCACUUAUAGAUGGAUACGCGCUGCAUUAGCUAGUUGGUAAGGUAACGGCUUACCAAGGCAACGAUGCAUAGCCGACCUGAGAGGGUGAUCGGCCACACUGGAACUGAGACACGGUCCAGACUCCUACGGGAGGCAGCAGUAGGGAAUCUUCCGCAAUGGGCGAAAGCCUGACGGAGCAACGCCGCGUGAGUGAUGAAGGUCUUCGGAUCGUAAAACUCUGUUAUUAGGGAAGAACAUAUGUGUAAGUAACUGUGCACAUCUUGACGGUACCUAAUCAGAAAGCCACGGCUAACUACGUG